CGGCAUGCUUCUUCUUGAGAUCAUCGCCGGUAGGAAGAGCUACGACGCCGAUCAGCCGCCGGAGAUGGCGCAUCUCCCGUCCUACGCGGCCAAGAUGUUGGCGGAGCAGAAGGGGUUUCGGGUGUUGGACCUGAGAGUGGCAGCAGAGGCGGAGGGGGAUUGGCGGGUGGAGGCGGCAGUGCAGGUGGCGGUGUGGUGCGUUCAGGAGGAGCCCAGUCUCCGGCCGCCGAUGAGGAAGGUGGUGCAGAUGCUGGAGGGGGUUAGUCCGGUGCCGAUGCCGCCGUGUACGGCG
rnacentral:misc_RNA from 1 species